CCUACGUGAGGCAGCAGUGGGGAAUAUUGGGCAAUGGGCGCAAGCCUGACCCAGCAACGCCGCGUGAAGGAAGAAGGCUUUCGGGUUGUAAACUUCUUUUGACAGGGAAGAGCAGAAGACGGUACCUGUCGAAUAAGCCACGGCUAACUACGUGCCAGCAGCCGCGGUAAUACGUAGGAUCCGAGCGUUAUCCGGAUUCAUUGGGUUUAAAGGGUGCGUAGGUUGUUUUAUAAGUUAGCGGUGAAAUACCGAUGCUCAACAUCGGGGCUGCCGCUGAUACUGUAGGACUAGAGAUCGGAUGCAGCAGGCGGAAUGUGUAGUGUAGCGGUGAAAUGCAUAGAUAUUACACAGAACACCGAUUGCGAAGGCAGCUUGCUAGGCCGGAUCUGACACUGAUGCACGAAAGCGUGGGGAUCGAACAGGAUUAGAUACCCGAGUAGUC
rnacentral:rRNA from 1 species